CAUGGACGAAUACAUGUAUAUUAUUAUUACUAGUAAAUAGAGAGGUGUAAUUAGAUGCGAUCUGUACCUGUGAUUAGCGGCUCUGAGCAAAUUUCUUGUUGUUUCCACCUCUACUGUUUGUAUUCUUUCUAUUUCUUCGUUCAAAGAAUUGCAAGAAUCGAAUUUUAGGGCACCAAUUUUGUGAUUAGUUUUGGUAAUUUAUCAUGAGCUGAGAAAUAGGGAUCUUCAGCUUCAUCAAGUAUUGGUUUUUUCGCCUCUGAAUUUAUUGUAUGGCAAAUGCAUCCGGGCUGUUCACUCCUACGGAACCUAAUGUGCGGCGUAGGUUUUCUCCGGGCGUCGGCAUUUGUCGGAAAUCUGGGAUUUGCGUAUCGUCCGACGUCGUUUACAGGAGAAGUGUGUGUUGCAGAGCUACCGGUGGCGUGGAGAAGCUUUCCCCAUCUGAAUCUAGAGCGCUAAGACUUAUCAGCAGAGGCUGCAAAUUAGUUGGAUGCGGCUCUGCGGUACCGAGUUUUCAGAUAUCCAAUGACGAUCUCUCGAAAAUUGUUGAUACUAAUGAUGAAUGGAUAUCUGUUCGAACUGGGAUUCGUAAUCGAAGAAUACUCUCUGCAUACCGCAAAUUGUAGAAUUAGUAUUUGCAUGAUUAAAUCAUGUCUGGGGACAGAAAGACCAAGAUUGAUAAGUUCAACCGAAAAUAUUUCGGUUGUUGGAAGGUGCUUUGCCAGAAGGAUCUGGAUUUGCCUUUGACCAGAAGAAUACCUGAGAAGAUGUGAGAAGAUGAGCUACAAUGAAUGGACAAUCCUUAAAAAAAACCCUGUCAGUUAUCGGAUCUACGCUAGCAAAAAAACAUUGGACUCAACAUUCUGAAAGAGACUACCCGCAUAUAGGUUGAUGAAGACAUUGGCAAACAUGUACGGGAAGCCAUCUGCUUCCAACAAGGUCUUUCUGAUAAAACAAUUGGUGAAAUCAAGAAUGAAAGAAGUUUCGUUGGCAAAGACUUGCAGUUGCAACUUUCUGUAUGCGUUGUUGCAUUGCAGCAGAGACAGAGAGACAUUGAAUUCAGAGGGUCUGCCAAUAAGGAGGAAGCUAAAGCCACUGCAAACUUUCAAGCUUGCCCAAAUUGAAAAGUUGCAUCAGGAUCAGGAGCGAGAUGAAUUUCAAAAAAUUGUUUUGGCAAGAUAGAACUCAACAGAUACAUGAAAUGAAGAAAAAGGAAAAGGAAAAGAAUUUCGUGAAGCAAAUUGCAAGUGAUAUAUAUUUCUUCCAGCUUACUAAAAACUUGUUCAAAGAAUGCAUGGGUAGAUGAAGCACAAGCCUGUCAUGCCAUUGUUGCAGGAACGCCUUAAUCAAGUGUUAAAUGAGAAGAAGAAAAAGAAGGAAUCCAUGAAUUUACUUAUGAUCAAACUAUAGAUUCUUUCAUGCUUUGUAAAUUCUUUCUACGCGACUAAAGUGUCGAGAUUAAAAUGUGACAAUAGAAAGAAGGUUAGCAACGUGGAACUUGGAAUGGAAAGAAUUCUGGUCGACAAUGACUUCUUUCUAUAAGAAGACUGUAAGUCAUGCCCUUGAGUUGUUAACUCCUGUUUAUUUAGCUGCCAUCAAUUUCUCCUGACAUUGCUUCUUGUAGGUUGAUCCUUAUUAAGCCAAAAAUCAAAUGUUGAUUUGAGGGCAUUGCUACGUUCAAUGCGGGUGCCUACGCAAACACUAGAUAUUAACGUUAUACUACUU